UGGGGAAUAUUGGGGCAAUGGGGCGAAAGCCUGACCCAGCGACGCCGCGUGAGGGAAGAAGGUCUUCGGAUUGUAAACCUUUGUUGACAGGGACGAAGAAGAUGACGGUACCUGUCGAGGAAGCCACGGCUAACUACGUGCCAGCAGCCGCGGUAAUACGUAGGUGGCGAGCGUUAUCCGGAUUUACUGGGUGUAAAGGGUGUGUAGGCGGAGAGGCAAGUCAGGUGUGAAAAUUAUGGGCUUAACCCAUAAACUGCACUUGAAACUGUAUCUCUUGAGUGUCGGAGAGUAGACGGAAUUCCUAGUGUAGCGGUGAAAUGCGUAGAUAUUAGGAGGAACACCAGUGGCGAAGGCGGUCUACUGGACGAUAACUGACGCUGA
rnacentral:rRNA from 1 species